GGCGCGGCGCGGCCCCGCUGCCGCUUACGUAACCGCCACCGGCGCGCUGGCCUCGGGCGGGUCGGGGUCCUCUCGCCGGCUCGGGCCGGGGACGCGCAGCCGGGAGUCUCCUGGGCCGCUGGACUCCGCGGCCUGAAACGGCGCCGGCUUGGGGGGCGCGUGCCGGCGGCCCUGUCUCAGGUGGUGGGUGGCCGAGCCUCCUGGGACAAACGGGCUGCGCUCGUUUGAACCAUGCUGACACCGCGGGGUGGGGACUCGAACCCCCGUUUCGCAGUUCAGGAGCCUGUCGUCCGAGAGGUUUGUAUAUUCCAUGCUCACAGAGCUCCGUGCACAUACGCAAGCUUCCCUGCAAUGGAUUCCUGGAAGUGAGAAGAGCCUGCAGAUGAUCAGUGUUGCUGGGAACUCAAAUUUCCUUCCAGAACGACCCAUUAUGGCACCACCACACGCAAGAGCCGCUCUUCUCCACCUGACCAGUGCUGAGUGUGAUCAGUCCUGUGAAUUUUUGGCAACCUGAUGGGCCAGAUAAUCUUGUCCUUUGCAUUUUUCUGAAGCGAAUGAGGUCUGACCUCUUUCUACAAGUUCACGAUGUUUGGCAUUUCUCCCUGCGGGAGCGGCCUGGGCAGUCUUUGUGCUUAGUCUGUCUCUGCCCAAAAGUUAUUACCACUCAUCUUUCAUUGAAUUUUCUAGGACUACCACAAAAUGUAAAAAGAAAAAAAAACUGAAGUAACAGACUUGCUUAUUUUGUUCCUGACUUUAAGUGGAAUGACGCUGGCAUUUUGGGUUUUAUAUGACUGAGGAUAUUAAUAAAACCAGCUGUGUAACCCACAA